ACUACUUCAAAAUGGAGAUCGCUUCACUGGAGCUGCCCAUGCUGUCAGACGCUACAAUGGCACAGAUACAAAGACGAGUCCUCUAUCCAUCUUUAUGGUCCCUACAGAACCGUGAGAGGCACUGUAAAGGAGAGCCCAGAAGAGCUAGUCUGAUAGGUCAGUCCCACCAGCUCACUGUUUCACAGCUGCAACAACCUGGUCUCUCUUUGAGGAGGGUGUGUAGGGCUCAGCUGAUGAUUCAUAUUCCAGGUGUCGUUGGUCUCUCCUCUAGUCUAGGAGGUAAUGAUUCUAGGAGACCACAGAAGAAGAGAAGGUACCAUCAAGUGUAGCUGGUCUAUCUGACCCUUUGAGGGAGGUGCAAUUGGUUGCUCUCAUCUCUGGGGGAGGUGCUAUAGGGAGUGGCUGGUCUCUGUCGGUUAGGGAGGUGCUAUAGAGAGUGGCUUGUCUCUGUUAGGGAGGUGCUAUAGAGAGUGGCUUGUCUCUGUUAGGGAGGUGCUAUAGGGAGUGGCUGGUCUCUGUCGGUUAGGGAGGUGCUAUAGAGAGUGGCUUGUCUCUGUUAGGGAGGUGCUAUAGAGAGUGGCUUGUCUCUGUUAGGGAGGAGCUAUAGAGAGUGGCUUGUCUCUGUCUGUUAGGGAGGAGCUAUAGAGAGUGGCUUGUCUCUGUUAGGGAGGUGGUAUAGAGAGUGGCUGGUCUCUGUUAGGGAGGUGCUAUAGAGAGUGGCUUGUCUCUGUCUGUUAGGGAGGUGCUAUAGAGAGUGGCUUGUCUCUGUCUGUUAGGGAGGUGCUAUAGAGAGUGGCUGGUCUCUGUCUGUUAGGGAGGUGCUAUAGAGAGUGGCUUUUCUCUGUCUGUUAGGGAGGUGCUAUAGAGAGUGGCUGGUCUCUGUCUGUUAGGGAGGAGCUAUAGAGAGUGGCUGGUCUCUGUCUGUUAGGGAGGUGCUAUAGAGAGUGGCUGGUCUCUGUUAGGGUGGUGGUAUAGAGAGUGGCUUGUCUCUGUUAGGGAGGAGCUAUAGAGAGUGGCUUGUCUCUGUUAGGGAGGUGCUAUAGAGAGUGGCUGGUCUCUUUCUGUUAGGGAGGUGCUAUAGAGAGUGGCUGGUCUCUGUCUGUUAGGGAGGAGCUAUAGAGAGUGGCUUGUCUCUGUCUGUUAGGGAGGUGCUAUAGAGAGUGGCUGGUCUCUGUAUGUUAGGGAGGUGCUAUAGAGAGUGGCUUGUCUCUGUUAGGGAGGAGCUAUAGAGAGUGGCUGGUCUCUGUCUGUUAGGGAGGUGCUAUAGAGAGUGGCUGAUCUCUGUCUGUUAGGGAGGUGCUAUAGAGAGUGGCUUGUCUCUGUUAGGGAGGUGCUAUAGAGAGUGGCUGGUCUCUGUUAGGGAGGUGCUAUAGAGAGUGGCUGGUCUCUGUCUGUUAGGGAGGUGCUAUAGAGAGUGGCUGAUCUCUGUCUGUUAGGGAGGUGCUAUAGAGAGUGGCUGGUCUCUGUCUGUUAGGGAGGUGCUAUAGAGAGUGGCUGAUCUCUGUCUGUUAGGGAGGUGCUAUAGAGUGUGGCUUGUCUCUGUUAGGGAGGUGCUAUAGAGAGUGGCUUGUCUCUAUCUGUUAGGGAGGUGCUAUAGGAGGAAGCAUCAGGUGCAUCAGAGUGAAUGGUUUCUCUCAUUCAUUUCUUGUCCUUUAGGAAAGUGUUAUUGGGCAUGUCUGG